UACAGAGGUCUCAAGCGUUGUUCGGAUUCAUUGGGCGUAAAGGGUGCGUAGGCGGCGCGGUAAGUCGGGUGUGAAAUCUCGGAGCUUAACUCCGAAACUGCAUUCGAUACUGCCGUGCUUGAGGACUGGAGAGGAGACUGGAAUUUACGGUGUAGCGGUGAAAUGCGUAGAUAUCGUAAGGAAGACCAGUGGCGAAGGCGGGUCUCUGGGCCACUACUGACGCUGAGAAGCGAAAAGCGUGGGGGAGCGAACAGG
rnacentral:rRNA from 1 species